rnacentral:rRNA from 1 species
ACUCCUACGGGAGGCAGCAGUAGGGAAUCUUCCACAAUGGGCGCAAGCCUGAUGGAGCAACACCGCGUGAGUGAAGAAGGGUUUCGGCUCGUAAAGCUCUGUUGUUAAAGAAGAACACGUAUGAGAGUAACUGUUCAUACGUUGACGGUAUUUAACCAGAAAGUCACGGCUAACUACGUGCCAGCAGCCGCGGUAAUACGUAGGUGGCAAGCGUUAUCCGGAUUUAUUGGGCGUAAAGAGAGUGCAGGCGGUUUUCUAAGUCUGAUGUGAAAGCCUUCGGCUUAACCGGAGAAGUGCAUCGGAAACUGGAUAACUUGAGUGCAGAAGAGGGUAGUGGAACUCCAUGUGUAGCGGUGGAAUGCGUAGAUAUAUGGAAGAACACCAGUGGCGAAGGCGGGCUACCUGGUCUGCAACUGACGCUGAGACUCGAAAGCAUGGGUAGCGAACAGGAUUAGAUACCCC